UACGAAGGGGGCUAGCGUUGUUCGGAUUUACUGGGCGUAAAGCGCGCGUAGGUGGCCCCAUAAGUCCGCUGUGAAAGUCAAAGGCUCAACCUUUGAAAGCCGGUGGAUACUGUGGGACUAGAGUACGGAAGAGGCGAGUGGAAUUCCUGGUGUAGCGGUGGAAUGCGCAGAUAUCAGGAGGAACACCAAUAGCGAAGGCAGCUCGCUGGGACGUUACUGACACUGAGGCGCGAAAGCGUGGGGAGCGAACAGG
rnacentral:rRNA from 1 species